rnacentral:rRNA from 1 species
AACGAACGCUGGCGGCAGGCUUAACACAUGCAAGUCGAACGGGCGUAGCAAUACGUCAGUGGCGGACGGGUGAGUAACACGUGGGAAUAUGCCCUUUCGGUUCGGAACAACUCGGGGAAACUCGUGCUAAUUCCGGAUACGCCCUUACGGGAAGGAUUAUCGCCGAGGAUUAGCCCGCCGUUGGAUUAGCUAGUUGGUGAGGUAAUGGCCCACCAAGGCGACGAUCCAUAGCUGGUUUGAGAGAACGACCAGCCACACUGGGACUGAGACACGGCCCAGACUCCUACGGGAGGCAGCAGUGGGGAAGUCUUGGACAAUGGAGGAAACUCUGAUCCAGCCAUGCCGCGUGAGUGAUGAAGGCC